AUAAGACUCGUAACUAGAUUUUGACGGUGAACCUCAGGCAGCGAAAGUGCACCGACAGAUGGGUUCUUGAACUAUAAUUAUUAUUAAGCGAUAUAUUUAAAUUUGAAACGAUAAUUAAAUAUGUUCUCUAAAACCGGCUUUUUCAUUGAAGAUAAAAAGUUAACAUGUUUAAAAGUGUGUCACAAGUCGUAAAAAAGUUGGGAAUUCCCGGUAUAGGAAGUGCCUCUUACCACAUCUUUUUUAUCUUAUAAUUAGGGGAAACCAUAAUCUAGGAAGAACCUAAGAAUUCGGAAAGGGACUAGUAAGAACGUAAGAGGUGGCCCAGGUAGAUUUGGAAGAACCUAACCUAAAUAAAAAUUUCUACACUUCCUUUUUGCCAAAGGAACUACGUUGCACCAGAGUGAAUAUACAUCGGGAAAUCUCCUGAAAUUAAUUAUGCUCGUCAACGCGCGUAUCACGGUGUAAUUGGAGCGACUCGUUCAGAGUAACAACUAACGAGGGUGCGUUCACACCCACGUACCAAGCGGAGCAUGUUUUAAAGCACUAAAUAUGGAUGGUUCGUACAGUACUUUAAAGUUUUUGCUAUAAGCGACCUCAAUCUACUUAAUGGAAAAGUGUAAUUUCAGCUUCUCUUUAAAUUCUCUGCAUAGUUUUCAUGUAUGAGCUUAUACGGAACAUGGAGUGAAAUGUAGGAACUUUGAUUGAUUUGUAGCAUGUCAAGUGAAAUAAUAUUUAUUUAAUUUUGUUAAACAAAUUAUUUCAGUAAUAGUAGAUAAUGCUAUAGUGUAGUUUUUGUUAGGUAUCUAUUGGAGAUCCUAAGAGAGAGGUUAUAGUAUAGUUUGAUUACAAAGAAGAAUCAUUAUGUAAACUAAACAUUUAUAUAUUUAUUUCGUAAGUAUGCAAUGUCAACAGUAUAGGCUAUAGAGAAUAUUUUUUUUAUACAUAAAGCAACAGAGCUUGCGAAAGUUUAUAUUUAAAGCACUUAUGAUGCUGGUAUAUAAAACUUAGACUAAUAGCAAAUAUCUUAUUUACUGUCAACCGUUUAUUUA